rnacentral:rRNA from 1 species
UCGGGAAUUUUGGGCAAUGGGGGAAACCCUGACCCAGCAACGCCGCGUGAAGGAUGAAGUAUUUCGGUAUGUAAACUUCGAAAGAAUAGGAAGAAUAAAUGACGGUACUAUUUGUAAGGUCCGGCUAACUACGUGCCAGCAGCCGCGGUAAUACGUAGGGACCAAGCGUUGUUCGGAUUUACUGGGCGUAAAGGGCGCGUAGGCGGCGUGGUAAGUCAUCUGUGAAAUCUCCGAGCUUAACUCGGAACGGUCAGAUGAUACUGCUGUGCUAGAGUACAGAAGGGGCAAUCGGAAUUCUUGGUGUAGCGGUGAAAUGCGUAGAUAUCAAGAGGAACACCUGAGGUGAAGACGGGUUGCUGGGCUGAUACUGACGCUGAGGCGCGAAAGCUAGGGUAGCAAACGGGAUUAGAUACCCAGGUAGUCCCUGAGCGGGCUGGCAAGGCGCAU